GGACGUCCUGGCCUUCCCUCCGGUUCUCCGCCGGUGCUCUUGACUGAGUGUCGGCGGCGGCCGGAACGUUUACUUUGAAAAAAUUAGAGUGUUCAAAGCAGGCUCUCGAGCCUGGAUAAUGGUGCAUGGAAUAAUGGAAUAGGACCUCGGUUCUAUUUUGUUGGUUUUCGGAGCGCGAGGUAAUGAUUAAGAGGGACAGACGGGGGCAUUCGUACUGUGCCGUUAGAGGUGAAAUUCUUGGAUCGGCGCAAGACGAACGACUGCGAAAGCAUUUGCCAAGAAUGUUUUCUUUAAUCAAGAGCGAAAGUCAGAGGUUCGAAGACGAUCAGAUACCGUCCUAGUUCUGACUAUAAACGAUGCCAACUAGCGAUCGGGGGGCGUUACAUUGACGACCCCUCCGGCAGCUUACGGGAAACCAAAGUCUUUGGGUUCCGGGGGAAGUAUGGUUGCAAAGCUGAAACUUAAAGGAAUUGACGGAAGGGCACCACCAGGAGUGGAGCCUGCGGCUUAAUUUGACUCAACACGGGAAAUCUCACCCGGCCCGGACACAGUGAGGAUUGACAGAUUGAGAGCUCUUUCUUGAUUCUGUGGGUGGUGGUGCAUGGCCGUUCUUAGUUGGUGGAGCGAUUUGUCUGGUUAAUUCCGAUAACGAACGAGACUCUGGCUUGCUAAAUAGUUACGCGACCAACCCGGGUCGGCGUUUAACUUCUU
rnacentral:ncRNA from 1 species